CAGAUUCAUUGCCAGGAUUUUAAUUCAGUGGCAGAGGACCUUGGGAUGUGAAGGGACUUUAAUACCUGAACAUUUUUUUCAGUUUCAAUGACAGGAUUUUAAUUCAGUGGCAGAGGACCUUGGGAGGUGAAGGGACUUUAAUACCUAAACAUUUUAUUUUCAGAUUCAUUGACAGGAUUUUAAUUCAGUGGCAGAGGACCUUGGGAGUUGGAGGGACUAUAAUACCUAAACAUUUUUUUU